GGGGAAUCUUAGACAAUGGGGGCAACCCUGAUCUAGCCAUGCCGCGUGAGUGAUGAAGGCCUUAGGGUUGUAAAGCUCUUUCAGCUGGGAAGAUAAUGACGGUACCAGCAGAAAAAGCCCCGGCUAACUCCGUGCCAGCAGCCGCGGUAAUACGGAGGGGGCUAGCGUUGUUCGGAAUUACUGGGCGUAAAGCGCACGUAGGCGGACUGGAAAGUCAGAGGUGAAAUCCCAGGGCUCAACCUUGGAACUGCCUUUGAAACUAUCAGUCUGGAGUUCGAGAGAGGUGAGUGGAAUUCCGAGUGUAGAGGUGAAAUUCGUAGAUAUUCGGAGGAACACCAGUGGCGAAGGCGGCUCACUGGCUCGAGACUGACGCUGAGGUGCGAAAGCGUGGGGAGCAAAC
rnacentral:rRNA from 1 species